rnacentral:rRNA from 1 species
ACAGAGGCGGCAAGCGUUGUUCGGAAUUAUUGGGCGUAAAGAGCGCGUAGGCGGCCUUGCAAGUCAGUUGUGAAAGCCUUCCGCUUAACGGAAGAACGGCAUCUGAUACUACAGGGCUUGAGUACGGGAGGGGAGAGUGGAACUUCUGGUGGAGCGGUGAAAUGCGUAGAUACCAGAAGGAACGUCGGCGGCGAAAGCGACCCUCUAGACCGUAACUGACGAUGAGUGUGCGAAAGCUAGGGUAGCAAACGG